GCCGUGGUGGACGCUGUGUUUAGGAUGGAGAGUUAACUGCCACCAUGGCAACCAGACUGGAUUGGCUUCAUUCCUUCCCACUUAAUUGAGACGUCACUCAGGGAAUGGGAAGUCAUGUUUGUGUUUUAAGUGCACAGGCUGGCGAGGAGCGUUCACUUGGCAGAUUUUGGAACCCACGCAGAACCAAGAAGGUGAAUUCCUUGGGAAGCGCCGAGUUGAGUGUUGAGAAGAAAAAGAUGAAAAAAGUCCUCAAAGGGAAACGUUUGCCGAUGUGGAAGA